rnacentral:rRNA from 1 species
UACGAAGGGGGCUAGCGUUGUUCGGAAUUACUGGGCGUAAAGGGCGCGUAGGCGGUGUGUCAAGUCAGGCGUGAAAGCCCCGGGCUCAACCUGGGAACCGCGCUUGAGACUGGCACGCUCGAGUUCGGGAGAGGAUGGUGGAAUUCCCAGUGUAGAGGUGAAAUUCGUAGAUAUUGGGAAGAACACCGAUGGCGAAGGCAGCCAUCUGGACCGACACUGAUGCUGAGGCGCGAAAGCGUGGGGAGCAAACAGG